rnacentral:rRNA from 1 species
CUGCAUGCGGCGUGCUAUACAUGCAAGUCGAGCGCGGGAAGCCGGCGGACUCCUUCGGGAGGAAACCGGUGGAACGAGCGGCGGACGGGUGAGUAACACGUGGGCAACCUGCCGGACUGAUGGGAAUAACCCCGGGAAACCGGGGCUAAUGCCCAAUACGCCCUGACCUCGCCUGAGGUCAGCGGUAAAGCAGGGAUCUUCGGAUCCUUGCACAGUCCGAUGGGCCCGCGGCGCAUUAGCUAGUUGGGGAGGUAAGGGCUCCCCAAGGCGACGAUGCGUAGCCGACCUGAGAGGGUGAUCGGCCACACUGGGACUGAGACACGGCCCAGACUCCUACGGGAGGCAGCAGUAGGGAAUCAUCCGCAAUGGGCGAAAGCCUGACGGUGCAACGCCGCGUGAGUGAUGAAGGUUUUCGGAUCGUAAAGCUCUGUUGACAGGGAAGAACCCACGUCAGUCGAACAGGCUGGCGUGCUGACGGUACCUGUCCAGAAAGCCCCGGCUAACUACGUGCCAGCAGCCGCGGUAAUACGUAGGGGGCAAGCGUUGUCCGGAAUUAUUGGGCGUAAAGGGCACGCAGGCGGUUUCGUCAGUCCGAUGUGACAGGCCACGGCUCAACCGUGGAAGGCCAUUGGAAACUGCGAAACUUGAGGACAGAAGAGGAGAGUGGAAUUCCACGUGUAGCGGUGAAAUGCGUAGAUAUGUGGAGGAACACCAGUGGCGAAGGCGACUCUCUGGUCUGUACCUGACGCUGAGGUGCGAAAGCAUGGGGAGCAAACAGGAUUAGAUACCCUGGUAGUCCAUGCCGUAAACGCUGAGUGCUAGGUGUUAGGGGUUUCGAUACCCGUAGUGCCGAAGCUAACGCAUUAAGCACUCCGCCUGGGGAGUACGACCGCAAGGUUGAAACUCAAAGGAAUUGACGGGGGCCCGCACAAGCGGUGGAGCAUGUGGUUUAAUUCGACGCAACGCGAAGAACCUUACCAGAUCUUGACAUCUUCCGCUACGUCUCGAGAGAGGCGGUUCCCCUUCGGGGGACGGAAUGACA